rnacentral:rRNA from 1 species
GACGAACGCUGGCGGCGUGCUUAACACAUGCAAGUCGAACGGUGAUGCUCCAACUUGCUGGAGUGGAUCAGUGGCGAACGGGUGAGUAACACGUGAGCAACCUGCCCCAGACUCUGGAAUAAGCGCUGGAAACGGCGUCUAAUACUGGAUACGAAACUGGCCCGCAUGGGCAUGGUUUGGAAAGUUUUUCGGUUUGGGAUGGGCUCGCGGCCUAUCAGCUUGUUGGUGAGGUAAUGGCUCACCAAGGCGACGACGGGUAGCCGGCCUGAGAGGGCGACCGGCCACACUGGGACUGAGACACGGCCCAGACUCCUACGGGAGGCAGCAGUGGGGAAUAUUGCACAAUGGGCGAAAGCCUGAUGCAGCGACGCCGCGUGAGGGAUGACGGCCUUCGGGUUGUAAACCUCUUUCAGCAGGGAAGAAGCGAAAGUGACGGUACCUGCAGAAGAAGCACCGGCUAACUACGUG